GGCCCCUCCAUGGACUUCAUCCACCGUGGUAGAUCGACCACAAGCUGCAUCGACAUUGAGCGACAUCGAGCGUUCCUCUUCUUCGUGGGGCGUGCACCUUCUGGGGGUGUAGGCGUGCAGCACCUACUGCUAUGGAGGGCGGAUGGCGGGGUGCUUCUAUCAUCAUCAUCGAGCUCAGAUUCCUGCAUGUAUGGAUCAAGAUGUCAUCCCCUGUUUUAUUUCCUUCUAUUUCUGUUUAUAGAGUACAGCAAGGACACACCCACAUUCAGAAAGCACCAAUUAAACCUUGUGUAGAAAAUAACCAUUAUUGUAGGAGAAUUAUGAAGUAAUUUUUAUUUACAAACUUAUCUAGUAUUCUGAUAACGUAAUGGAACUUUUACCUUUAAUUAACCAAUAUAUAUAGCAGUACGCAUGGUUUAAGCCUUGAGCAUUAGUUCAGUUAUGCGUACAUUCUAUGAAGGUUUAUUGCUCCAAUUUGCCAUAUGGUGGAGAAACCAUAUAGUUGAGUUUGUCCUUAUCAGCUAUAAUAGCAAAAUUAUAUGGUCCUAUUUUAGCUCAAGUAGUCGGUUCUAUUUCAUGUCAAAUAGUAAGUUUUAUAAGCAAAACAAGAAAAGGGUCAGGUAUAGUAUACGAGGUUAGAUGGAAGAUUCUUAGAAUGUAGGCCAUAUUUCGUUUAAAAAAUAAGGCUAUGUUACUGAUAUUUACUUUCAGUUCUUAUCCAUCUGUCGAAGAUAAAUAUUGCGGGUGAGAUCGCCGCCUAAAUAUGAACAGUUCGGAACCUUUGAAGUUGUGCAAAGUUCUUCUGCUAGCAAAAUCUCGAGAUUUGGCAAUUCUCAUCAGUUGUUUCGAUUAUGCUGCCUUAUUCAAUUUUUUCGCCUUUCUGAUAUGAAAUCUCGCACCUCAUUGGCUUUCUUCUGAUACAGAAUGGCAUGUAUUUAUAUGUGUCUUUGAGAAAAAAAUUGCAUCAUCGUUGUUAUAUCAGUAUAUGCCACCAAAGAAAACAUAAGAUGCAGUUAAGAAUUAAAACAGAUAUUUUACAUUUUGUAUUGUGUUCUGUUAUCGAAGACUAAAAGUAUAAAUACCAACUACACUUCACUCAUUCCGUUGCUAACCAAGUAAGCAUCAUUAUAGAAGCUGGCAUGUUCAUUUCAAAAACAGAUAAAAGAGGAAAAGGUGAUACCAGAAGAUACAAGCAUGUAAGCAAUAGUUCUUGUGAUAAUAUUUACCAAUCAACAUUAUGGUUGAUUGCUUAAAUGUAUUUGCUUCUAAUGCAGCUGGAAGUGGGUUCUAAGUGUAUGGCAGAAGCAGCAAUGCAACCAGAAGCAAGGUGGGGUAAUAAACCUUGUACUCACUUAUCACGAUUGCACUUAAAAUGGUCGUUAUCUUCAUGAUAGCUCCAAGCUUUAUUCUAGAAGCAUAGUUUGGUUAGAUACUGUCAGCUUAUGUUGAUUCGGAACCUGAGUGUAGCAUGAUGAAAAAUCGGGAGUAGUAUGCUGAUUUUGCUUGGUAGAAACAUGACUUGUCCUCAUGGCACAAUAAUUGAUUGAUUUAUUCCAAGGCAUUCCUAGUAAAGAGUAUAGCAAAGCUUAAUCACCAAAUUGGCACACUGGCCAUCAAUGUUGAUUAUGAAGGUAGAUUUAUUUCAAUAUGAAAGAACAACCUUGCAUUAAUUGAGGCAUAAUAUGCAGCCUCUGAACUAUGGCAAAGUUCACGGUUUUUAUUUAUGCCUACACUAGAAAAUUACUUUACUGGUUAUACACCAUCAAACCAUAAUACAGUUAUAUCUUGCAGCAAUACUUAUAUCAGUAAUGACAUCACUCGGAAUUAAGUGAUGGCUAUAUGUCUCGUGACAGGUUUGACAAUGACCUCAAGAUCAGCAAUAUGCUCCUGAACUGAUACCUUAUGCAUGAUUCAUAAGUAACAUAUAUUGGUGUUAGCCAACACAGGUGGUCAAUUCUUUGCUCGAUGAACUUCUCGUGGAUACUUUGUUAUUUCUUUACAAUUUCACCCUUCUUGAUGUAAUCAGAUUGGUAUUGUAUAUGAGCCAAAGUUGAAAAUUGUUUUUAGUCAUAAAUAGAGUUGAUAUAUUUACUUUUACUUCUCUGAGUUACUUUGAUGUUAGCUUUCAUAGUACUAACUGAUCUAUUUCUUUGCAUAACUAUAUCAUGUAUCACUCCGUCCGGAAUUACUUGUCGCAUAAAUGGAUGCAAAUGGGUGUAUCUACAAUUAAAAUAAAUCUAGAUACAUUCAUUUCUCCGACAAGUAUUUCUGGAUGGUCCCUCCGUCCCAUAAUAUAAGAGCGUUUUUGACCUCUUAUAUUAUGGAAUGGAGGGAGUAGCUUAUAAGAUGCAUUGAUUUCUGUUCUUGUAGCCAGCUAUGACCAAUGUAUGCAUAGGUCCAGAAUUUGUGAAUAUUGUAAAUAAACUAUAUUAUCAUGUCUACAAGAUUAUAUAUUAUAAUUUUUAUGUAUAUUGUUGGAGGUUUCUCAAAUAUACACAAGUUGCUGGAUGUUUGAAGGUCUACAAGUUGCUGGAUGUUUGGCGAAUCUAACAGGUUGGCGGAGUGAUAAUAUAUAAAGCAUGUCUAGAUACAAACAAUUUGGGGCAGCGGGAGUAUGUAAUGUGCCUUGUUUAUUGAGCCUGGAGAUGUUGUUAAGUUUCACUUGGCCAUUUUGGUGGUUGUUUUGGCACAUAAGCCAGGGAAUGCUCGUUUUGAUUGUGCCACAAUUUCCUUUCAUGGAAACUUAUGUACUUUGCAUUGUGGCACAAUAUUAUGUAUUUGAUUCGUUAAUGUUAUUGAAUGAGACCUUGAAUGUAACAUUGAUUAAAGUGUAUGUAUAACUUUUGUGAUAUGUCCUGAUUUGCCUAAACAUACUGAUUGUGUAUUAAAAUUAGGGGUAUGUUGCACUUCUUGUGAAACAACACGUGUGAUGGCAGAUUAUCUGCCGGGUAAACGUCUUUGCAUAGGCAGUCAAACUG
rnacentral:lncRNA from 1 species